CGAGUGUGAGAGCCUCCUGCCCGAGCUAAGCUCCACCCUUCUUCGCCUUUCUGCGGCUGUUCCCGCCUCCAGGACUAACACACAGCAACAAGCUGUUGAGGAGUGGGGGUGGCGAGAGAGAGAGAGAGAGAGAGAGAGGACAGGGGUUUGGCUCCCUUGCUUCACAGGAUCACAGCCCGGAUGCUUGGAGUGGAACAUGAAACAACCACUGCUCACACAGAAUCCCACCAUCAAGAAAGGGGUGGAGUGACUGAGGAAUUAGCGCUGGGUACAGGAUCCAUCCCACUCUCCCUUUUGUGCUCAUCUCAGUGGAGGUCUACCCAUAACCAGCAGCAAUGACCAGGAUGCUCCCAGGUUUUCCUCCAUGGGGUUGUUGACCAACUUGUUCCUGGCAGGCUCCUGUACCCUUGCAAGCUCCAUUACAGACAGAUGCAACAGGUGAAAGUGUCCUCAGCACGGAGCUACUAUCCUGAUGUCUGUGUCGUGUCAUCGUCCAAUUCCUGCUAGAGUGACUAUUUGGCAACACAAGCACACACAUGUAUUUUCCUUUCAGGAUCUCCCCCAUCACAGAUGCUGUUCAAGGAAGACUAUUAUUGCCAUAUGUGCUGUUUCUUUGUUCCUAUGAAGUUUUACAUAGGAAUCCUUUCCCAGCACCUCAGUAGGAUCUGGCUUCAGCUGGCCUGAAGAUGGGAGUCUAAGAGAGGCAGCAAGCUUAUAGACUCAGGAGCAGUGGCCCCUCCUCUCCUUGUUCACUCAGGUUCCAUAGACUAUGAGGGGCCAAACCUCUCAGGGUGGGAAGACUACUAUUGCCACAAUGUAUGUGGCAGCAUCUCAUAUAUCCAGAGUCUCACAUAAUUGACGUAUAGUUUAGGAUUGCUCUGCCCAUGAAUGUGCUCAUUAUGUAGUAUUGCAUUCAUGGAGUACGUUGCCUAACAGUGCUUUUGUUGUACCAGGACAAUUAUGCCUGACAUUUGCUAAAAUUGACUUUUAUAUUUAAA